rnacentral:rRNA from 1 species
UACGUAGGGUGCAAGCGUUGUCCGGAAUUAUUGGGCGUAAAGAGCUCGUAGGCGGUUUGUCGCGUCUGCUGUGAAAUCCCAGGGCUUAACCCUGGGCCUGCAGUGGGUACGGGCAAACUAGAGUGCGGUAAGGGAGAUCGGAAUUCCUGGUGUAGCGGUGAAAUGCGCAGAUAUCAGGAGGAACACCGGUGGCGAAGGCGGAUCUCUGGGCCGUAACUGACGCUGAGGAGCGAAAGCAUGGGUAGCGAACAGG